rnacentral:rRNA from 1 species
GUCUAGGGCCAUACCACCCUGAACACGCUCAGUCUUGUCUGAUCUUGGAAGCUAAGCAUGGUUGGGCCUGGUUAGUGCUUGGAUG